rnacentral:rRNA from 1 species
CCUANGGGGGGCAGCAAUUAGGAAUUUUGCGCAAUGGACGAAAGUCUGACGCAGCGACGCCGCGUGGAGGAUGAAGGUUUUCGGAUCGUAAACUCCUUUUAUGUGGGAACAAGUUCUGAGGGUACCACAUGAAUAAGGUGCUGCAAACUACGUGCCAGAAGCAUCGGUGAUACGUAGGCACCAAACAUUAUCCGGAUUUACUGGGCGUAAAGAGAUGCGUAGGCGUCUUGAUAAGUCUGGUGUGAAAGCCCAUGGCUCAACCAUGGAAUCGCAUUAGAAACUAUCAAGAUUGAGUAAGACAGGGGGAAACGGAACUUCUAGUGUAGCAGUGAAAUGCGUUGAUAUUAGAAGGAACACCAAUAGCGAAGGCAGUUUCCUGGGUCUUUACUGACGCUAAGGCUCGAAAGUGUGGGGAGCAAAACGGAUUAGAUACCCUGNUANUC